CUGAGCCUACGGGGCGCAGCAGUGGGGAAUAUUGCACAAUGGGGGAAACCCUGAUGCAGCGACGCCGCGUGAAGGAAGAAGUAGUUCGGUAUGUAAACUUCUAUCAGCAGGGAAGAAGAUGACGGUACCUGACUAAGAAGCCCCGGCUAACUACGUGCCAGCAGCCGCGAUAAUACAUAGGGAGCAAGCGUUAUCCGGAUUUAUUGGGUGUAAAGGGUGCGUAGACGGGAAAUUAAGUUAGUUGUGAAAUCCCUCGGCUUAACUGAGGAACUGCAACUAAAACUGAUUUUCUUGAGUACUGGAGA
rnacentral:rRNA from 1 species